GAUGAACGCUGGCGGCGUGCCUAAUACAUGCAAGUCGAGCGAACAGACGAGGAGCUUGCUCCUCUGACGUUAGCGGCGGACGGGUGAGUAACACGUGGAUAACCUACCUAUAAUACUGGUAUAACUUCGGGAAACCGGAGCUAAUACCGGAUAAUAUAUUGAACCGCAUGGUUCAAUAGUGAAAGACGGUUUUGCUGUCACUUAUAGAUGGAUCCGCGCCGCAUUAGCUAGUUGGUAAGGUAACGGGUUACCAAGGCGACGAUGCGUAGCCGACCUGAGAGGGUGAUCGGCCACACUGGAACUGGGACAGGGUCAAGACUCCUACGGGAGGCAGCAGUAGGGAAUCUUCCGCAAUAGGCGAGAGCCUGACGGAGCAACGCCGCGUGAGUGAUGAAGGUCUUCGGAUCGUAAAACUCUGUUAUUAGGGAAGAACAAAUGUGUAAGUAACUAUGCACGUCUUGACGGUACCUAAUAAGAAAGCCACGGCUAACUACGUG
rnacentral:rRNA from 1 species